rnacentral:Y_RNA from 1 species
AGCUGGUCUGCAGGUGGUGAGUUAUCUCCAUUGUGGUUCACAGUCAGUUGCAGAGGUUGCUCCUUGUUCUCUUUCCCCUCUUCUCACUAUUGCACUUGACUAGUCUUAA